GGUGGAGGGAGAGGGAGUGCGAGCGCGUAGGCUAUCAAGUGGACAGGAUAUCGGAGCCCACCGGCUUGGAUUAUUUGAUCAAGCAUCUUUGCCUGGUUGCAAGACACCUUUCAUGGCAGUCUCGUGGUCCCACUAGCCACAGCAGGGAAUUUACAUGUAUUACCGCAUUAAAUGGCUUUAUUAGCCAGAUCUUUAUACUGAUCCCACAGUCCGCUGUAUAUAUAUUUGUAUAGGCUACUUGACUACUAUGCCAGCGAAGAAACACGGCGUCGCGAGGCUCUGUUCAUAAUUUGCUCACUGGUUCAUUGAUACAGGCACCUCAUCGACUGAUUUCACAUCUAUUUCGGUGAAAAACAAACUCAUACCUGGAAUUGGGGUUAAGGGUCGCUCAGGGAAACAGGCGCAAUGGCCAAUGCCUCCACAGACCUGGACAACGCGGAGGCCCAACGCCAGCUCAACAACAACAACACCCGUCUGGCCGGCAGCUCGGGACACUGGGAAACUGAGGUCACCAGCUCCAAGCUGUUUGAGUGUUCCCGCAUCAAGGCCUUGGCAGAAGAGAGAGAUGCUGUCCAGAAGAAGACCUUCACUAAGUGGGUGAACUCCCACCUGGCAAGAGUGUCCUGUCGAAUCGCUGACCUCUAUAACGACCUCCGGGACGGCUACAUGCUCACCAGGCUGCUGGAGGUCCUGUCUGGGGAGAUGCUGCCGAGGCCCACGCGGGGUCGCAUGCGUAUCCACUGCCUGGAGAACGUGGACAAGGCCCUGCAGUUCCUCAAGGAGCAGAGGGUCCACCUGGAGAACGUCGGCUCUCACGACAUCGUCGACGGCAACCACCGUCUCACCCUUGGCCUCAUCUGGACCGUCAUUCUUCGCUUCCAGAUCCAGGUGAUUAAGAUUGAGUGUGACGACAACAGGGAGACGCGGUCGGCAAAGGAUGCCCUUCUCCUCUGGUGCCAGAUGAAAACUGCUGGGUACUCUGAGGUCCACAUCCAGAACUUCACCACCUGCUGGAGAGAUGGUCUCGCCUUCAACGCUCUCAUUCACCGACACAGGCCUGAUUUGAUUGAAUUCCAUAAGCUGAUCCGGUCAAAUGCCACACACAACCUCCAGCAAGCCUUCAACAUAGCUGAGCAGAACCUGGGGCUCACCAAACUCCUGGACCCUGAAGACGUGAAUACAGAGAACCCAGAUGAGAAGUCGAUAAUAACCUAUGUUGUGUCCUACUACCAUUACUUCUCCAAGAUGAAAGCCCUUCGAGUAGAGGGCAAGAGAGUGGGAAAGGUGUUGGACAAUGCCAUUGAGGGUCAGAAGAUGAUCGAUCGAUAUGAGGCCCUGGCCUCGGAGCUCCUGGAGUGGAUCGAGAAGACCAUAGGCAUCAUCAGCAACCAGAAGUUUGCCAACUCCUUAACGGGUGUCCAGCAACAGCUUCAAGCCUUCACCACCUACUGCACCAUCGAGAAGCCCAUCAAGUUCCAGGAGAAGGGGAACCUGGAAGUGCUCCUCUUUACUAUCCAAAGCAAGCUCAGAGCUAACAACCAGAAACCAUACGUGCCUCAUGAAGGGAAACUCAUCUCUGAUAUCAACAAGGCGUGGGAGAGGCUGGAGAAGGCGGAGCAUGAGAGAGGUGUGGCCCUACGUCAGGAGCUGAUUCGCCAGGAGAAGCUGGAGCUGCUGGCUCAGCGGUUUGACCACAAGACCACCAUGAGACAGGCGUGGCUCAACGAGAACCAGCGCCUCGUGUCUCAGGAUAACUUUGGCUACGACCUGCCAGCUGUGGAGGCCGCCAUGAAGAAGCACGAGGCCAUUGAGGCAGACAUCUCGUCGUACGAGGAGCGCAUCGGGGUGGUGGUGGAGCUGGCUGGGGAGAUGGAGACGGAGGGCUACUAUGACAUCCGGCGCAUCUCGGCCCGCAAGGAGAACAUCCUGGGCCAGUGGAGCCUGCUGAAGGAGCUGGUGGUGGGGAGGAAGGCCCGGUUGGAGAAGAACCUGGCUCUGCAGAAGACCUUCCAGGACAUGGUCUAUAUGAUCGACUGGAUGGAGGACAUGCAGGUCCAGCUCCUGUCCAAAGACUUCGGCAAGCAUCUGCUGGAGGUGGACGACCUGCUGCAGAAACACAGCCUCCAGGAAGCUGACAUCACAGCGCAGGCAGAGAGGGUGCAGACCCUUAACUCAGCCGCUCUCAAAUUCACCACCAUUGAAGGCUACCAGCCCUGUGACCCCCAGGUGAUCUGCAACCGGGUCAACCAUGUCAGCACCUGCCUGGAGGAGCUCAAGCAGCUGGCGGCCAAGCGGCGCUCGGAGCUGGAGGAGUCUCAGCACCUCUGGGCCUUCUUCCAGGAGGUGGAGGAGUCUGAGGCCUGGAUCCGCGAGAAGAGCUCCAUCCUGGUCACCCAGACCUGCGGCAAGGACCUGAGCAGCGUGCUGCGGCUGCUCCAGAAACACAAGACCCUGGCUGGGGAGCUGCUGGCCCACCGCUCCCUCCUCCAACAGACCAUGAAGAAGGGUAAGCAGAUCCUGAUGGAGAAGAGUUUCGGCACGGGGGGCAUCCAGGAGCGCAUCAUGGAGGUGAAAGGGGAGUGGAAGAGGCUGGAGGACCAGGCGGCGCAGAGACUGGGCCACCUGCAGGAGGCACUCAAUUUCUUCCAGUUCAGCACAGAGACGGACGACCUGCUGGCCUGGCUGCAGGACGCCUACCGCCUGGUUUCCAGCGAGGACUUUGGCCACGAUGAGUACUCCACCCAGUCACUGCUCAAGAAGCACCGGGGUGUGUGCGAGGCCGUGGACAAGCACCGGAUGCACGUGGUAACUCUGCGCAAACACAUGGUGGCGCUGCCACUGCAUUACCGGGAGCUGGACGAGGUGCAGUCGAGGAUGGGCGAGGCGGAGCAGCUGUACGCCGAGGUGGCCGAGGUGGCCGUCCUGAGGCAGCAGUGGCUGCACGACGCGCUGGCCGUCUACCUCAUGUUCAGCGAGGUCAACGCCUGCGAGGUGUGGAUCGACGAGAAGGAGCAGUGGCUCAACAAGAUGGAGGUUCCAGAGAGGCUGGAGGACGUAGAGGUCAUAGCCCACAGGUUUGAGAGCCUGGACCAGGAGAUGAACAGCCUGAUGGGAAGGAUCCUGGACGUGAACCAGAUAGUGCAGCAGCUCCUGGACAGUGAUCACCCCAGCUCGACAGAGGUCAGAGGCUGUCAGGACCACCUCAACAGCAGAUGGAACCGCAUCGUGGAGAUGGUGGAGCAGAAAAAGGAUCACCUGGACUCUGUCCUCCGUCUCCAGAACUACCUGCUGGAGUGUGCUGAGAUCAAGUCUCAGAUCCAGGAGAAGCGCAAGGCCAUCGACGCCACUCAGUACGUGGGCAGUGACCUGGGCGGGGUGCUGGCCCUGCAGCGCCGACUCUCCACCAUGGAGGGGGCCCUGGCCGUGCUGGAGCCCAAGCUGCUUCACCUGCAGCAGGAGGCAGAGGAGCUGGCCAUCUCGCACCCGGCCAAGGCCAUGGAGGUCCUGGAGCACUUCGAGGGCAUCAGUGUGGAGUGGGAGGAGCUGAAGCACACGCUGCAGGGCUGCGAGGACUCUCUGAUGGUGGCGGGGCGGCUGCAGCAGUUCAUCCAGGACCUGGACUCCUUCCUGACGUGGCUGGUGCACACGCAGACGGCGGCAGCUAGCGACGAGCUGCCCAACGCGCUGGAGGAGGCCGAGAGGCUGAUCAACCGCCACGCGGCGCUGAAGGAGGAGAUCGGGAGGUACGAGGAGGACUACGAGCGGCUACAGGCGGUCAACGAGCUGCUGGAGGCCGAGGAGGCUCCGCUGCCAUACGCGGCGCUGCAGCAGUGGCUCCAGAAGCUGGAUGUGGGCUGGAACAAGCUGCUGGAGAUGUGGGAGAGCCGGAGGGAGGUGCUGGUGCAGGCGCACAUCUUCCACCUCUUCCUGAGGGACGUCAAGCAGGCCGAGGCCUUCCUCAACAACCAGGAGUCAGCCUUGGCCCACGUUGAGCUCCCCACCACGGUGGAGACGGUGGAGGCUGCCAUCAAGAAGCACAAGGACUUCACCACCACCAUGGAGCUCAACCUGCAUCGCAUCAAGGCUGUCAUCGAGGCCGGAGAGAGCCUCAUUAGCCAGAGCAACAUCUACUCGGACCGUAUCAGGGAGCGUGUGGACACCCUCGCUAACAGAGGCAACCAGAACCGGGAAUUGGCCCAACAGUGGCUGGAGAGGCUCAACGGCCAGUGGGGGCUCCAGAGGUUACUACAGGACUGCCACGAGCUUGGAGACUGGGUGGCAGAGAAGAUGCUCAUGGCUCGUGACACGUCCCGCGAUGAGACGCAGAAGCUGCACAAGAAGUGGCUGAAGCACCAGGCCUUCAUGGCCGAGCUGUCCCAGAACAAGGAGUGGCUGGAGAAGAUCGAGAGGGAGGGCCAGCAGUUGAUCCAGGAGAAGCCCGAGCUGAGCCCGGUGGUGCGGAGGAAGCUGGGGGAGAUCCGGGAGUGUUGGCAGGACCUGGAGAGCACCACCCAGGCCAAGGCCCGCCAGCUGUUUGAAGCCAACCGGGCCGACCUGCUGGUGCAGAGUUACACCAGCCUGGACCAUCGGCUGCACCAGCUGGAAGGACAACUGUGCUACGUGGACCAGGGUCAGGACCUGACGAGCGUCAACAAGCAGCUCAAGAAGCUCCAGACGAUGGAGUGUCAGAUGGAGGAGUGGUAUAAGGAGGUGGGGGAGCUGCAGGUGGCGGCGGCCUCCAUCCCCCAGCAGGGCCAGGUCAUGGAGACGGUCGGCGAGCGCCAGGCCGCCGUGGAGACGCGCAUCGUCCGCCUCAUCGAGCCGCUCAAGGAGCGCCGGCGCAUCCUUCUGGCCUCCAAGGAGGUUCACCAAGUGGGCCGGGACCUGGAGGACGAGAUACUGUGGGUGCAGGAGCGACUGCCUGCCGCCACGUCUCAGGAGCACGGCUCCAGUCUCCAGGCUGUGCAGCACCUCAUGAAGAAAAACCAGACUCUGCAGAGGGAGCUGCAGGGCCAUCGGGCGAGCGUGGAGAACGUCCUGGAACGAGCUAAUGUCAUCGCCUCCAUCCGCAGCCCCGAGGCUGACUGUGUGCGGGCGGGCCUGGAGCAGCUCAGCGGGCUGUGGGGUCUGCUGUGGGCCGAGACAGAGAGAAGACAGCUGGUGCUGGAUGCCAUGUACCAGGCCCAGCAGUACUACUUUGACACGGCCGAGGUGGAGGCCUGGCUCAGUGAACAGGAGCUGCACAUGAUGAACGAGGAAAAGGGCAAGGAUGAGCCCAGCACCCUGCAGCUACUGAAGAAGCACCUGGUACUGGAGCAGACGAUAGAGGACUACGCUGAGACGAUAGGCCUUCUCUCCCAGCAGUGCAGACAGCUACUGGAGAUGGGACAUCCAGACAGUGAGCAGAUCAGUAAGUGUCAGUCUCAGAUGGACCGGCUGUACGUGUCUCUGAAGGACCUGGUGGAGGAGAGGAAGUCUCGUCUGGAGCAGCAGUACUGGCUCUACCAGCUCAACCAUGAGGUGGAUGAGCUGGAGCAGUGGAUCGCUGAGAGGGAGGUGGUGGCCAGCUCGCCAGAACUGGGACAGGACUUUGAACACGUCACGAUCCUGCAGGAGAAGUUCACAGAGUUUGCGUCGGAGACGGGCAGUCUGGGUCAGGAGCGUGUGACGGCGGUUAACCAGAUGGUGGAUGAGCUGAUCGACUACGGCCACGCCGAGGCCGCCACCAUCGCCGAGUGGAAGGACGGCGUGAACGAGGCCUGGGCUGACCUCCUGGAGCUCAUGGAGACCCGGGCACAGAUGCUGGCCGCCUCGCACCAGCUCCACAAGUUCUUCACCGACUGCCGCGAGAUCUUGGCCCAGAUCGAUGAUAAGCAACGGAGGCUGCCCGAGGUGCGGGCGUGCCAGGGUGGCACUGCCAACACCAGCACCCUGCAGAGGCUCAUGCACAGCUUCGAGCACGACAUUCAGCUGCUCGUCACUCAGGUGAGGCAGCUCCAGGAGAGUGCGGGUCAGCUCCGGACCAUCUACGCCGGGCAGAAGGCUGAGGCGAUUGCCGGCCGGGAACAGGAAGUGAUGCAUUGCUGGAAGGAGCUCUUGACGUCCUGUGAGGAGUGCCGAGUGCAGAUCACCACGGCAACAGACAAGCUGCGGUUCUUCGGGGUGGUGCGAGACCAGAUCAUGUGGAUGGACAGCAUCAUCUCUCAGAUCGGCACAGGGGACAAUCCAAGGGAUGUGUCCUCAGUGGAGGUACUGAUGAACUACCACCAGAGCUUGAAGAGCGAGGUGGAGGCGCGCAGUAAGAGUGUGCUGCAGUGCAUCGAGAUGGGCAAGACGCUGCUGGCCGCGCGCAACCCCGCUGCUGAGGAGAUCAAGGAGAAGCUGGAUAAGGUGGUGGCCAAGCAGUACGAGCUGUCUGAGAAAUGGGACAAACACUGGGAGGUCCUGCAGCACAUGCUGGAGGUGCACCAGUUUGCCCAGGAAGCGGUGGUGGCCGAGGCCUGGCUCACGGCCCAGGAGCCCUUCAUCAAUAGCAAGGAGCUGGGUGCCAGUGUGGACGAGGUGGAGCAGCUCAUCCGCCGCCACGAGGCCUUCCGCAAGGCCGCCGCCACCUGGGAGGAGCGCUUCAGCUCACUACGACGCCUCACCACGGUGGAGAAGAUGAAAGCAGAGCAGAGUAAGCUCCCUCCCACCCCCCUGCUGGGUCGAAAGGUGUUCCUGGACCCCCAGGAGACGUCCCCUGCCCGGAGCCAGGGCUCCCCACUGAUGAGACGGAUCAUUUACGAGCAGGCCGAGCACAGAGCUGAAAGGCCCUCCCAGGAACCCUUGCCCUCCUCCGUGGCCCGCCGCUUGGGAUCCACCGUGGCCAACUACACCCCCAUCAUGAACGGCUCCAGUGGCUACCGCAGCAGCCUGGAGGCCUGGGCCAUGCCUGUGAUGGGGGGAGUGGUUGGAGGUGUAGUGGGGGUGGCAGCUGGCCUGGGAACAACCGCCAUGGAGGCCAGAGGGGUAGCAGCAGGGUUGGGGACUGCCGCCUCGGAAGCCAGAGGGUUGGCAGUAGGAUUGGUCACCCCCGCGGUCGAGGCCAAAGGGAUAGCUGCAAGCUUGGUGACUGGUGCAGCCACGGCAGUGGAGGUGAAAGCCUCACAGUACCUCCGGCAGCCUAAGAUCAAACACAUGGACGACAUGGUGACGCCCAUGCUGGUGGCGUGUAGGCUGGAGAAGGUGAGAGAGAAGGAGGUGAGAGAGAGGGAGCAGAGAGAGAGGGAGAGAGAUAUUGUGUUAAUAGAGCCAGCGCCGGUGAUGCCGGUGAUGGCCGAGGUGGUGCUCCAGGAGAUGGGGAGGGAGGGGAUGGGCAGGGAGAGGUUGAACAGUGAGCCCAGCAGCAGAGACCACCGGGCGGGGAGCAGCCGGUCGGAGCCCCAGCAGAGAGACAGGGACAGAGACAGUAGGGACAGUAGGGACAGUCACAGGGAAGCCAGGCUGGAGCGCCAGCACUCUAGUGAGGUGCUGAUGAUUCAGGCACGGCGGGAUGAGCUGCCCCAGGAGGUGUGGCGGGAACGGGCCGAGCGCAAAGAGAGGAAGCUGGAGAGGCAGACGUCCAGCGAGCAGGAAGGCCACGGACACGAAGGCCGGAGGAAAGACCGCCACCGGACGGAGAGACAAGAGUCCAGUGAACACGACACAGCCAAGGAGCAGUCAGACAGACGUUCUACGGAGAAAAGGUCAGGCGGCCAGACCUUGUUUGACAUAGUGGAGCAGCUAAAAGACAGAGAGGCAGCAACGGCCCGAGGGGAGGUCCCUAAAGUGCCGAAUGGCGUGCCAGAGAAGUCUUCCGGACGUCCAGACCGGCCGCGAGCACGGGACCGCCCCAAGCCCCGGCGGAGACCCAGGCCCAAGGACCACUCUGCAGGAGAGGCCACCACCCGGCGGUCACGCUCGGCGCCAGAGCCAGGGAUGGCCCAGAGCGUGAGCCCCUCAGUCCUCCAGCCGCCGAGCCACACUGCCCACCACGAGGGCUUCCUCUUCCGCAAGCUGGACAUCGAGACCAUGAAGAAGAGCUCUAACAGGUGGGCAUCCAGGUUCCUAGUGGGGGAGUAUGUUGAUAUUACAAACAGGCAUGAUCUUAUGAGCAUGCUAAGCUAACAAAACAACUGACUUUACCUACGAAAUGUUCAAUUGGUGCAUGUCACUGGCAUUAACAUAUGUUCCAGCAUCUGAUUGGUGCCUUAGGUCUCGGUCGACAUAUGCUCAUCCUAUUGGAGCAUUUGCACUGGUCUGACAUACUGUAUGUUCAGACAUUCCUAUUGGAGCUUAACGACCCGAGUUGACAUAUGCUCUUGUAACCUAUUGAAAAUAGAAUUCUGGGUUGACAUAUGUUCUAGCAUCCUAUUUGAAAAUAGUCAUUUGCUUUAACAUAUGCUCUUCUAGCAUUUUAUUGAAACUUCAGAUCUCUGUUUAGCCUCUGAUCAGAAGUGUAUCAGAAUGAGAGUUCAACCAAGAGAUAGCCACCAGCCAUUCCACUGCUUGCAACAUGCAUGGUGCCUAAACCAACACUGGCCCUGACGGAGAGCAGUCUGGUUGAUGGAUGUUGUUGCUGAGCCUUAGGUCGAACCUGAUGCUGGUUCUGGCCUGGCCCAUAGCCAGUACGAUAUGCAGCCAUAGCCAGGCUACCCGCACAGGUCCCUGCAGUGGCCACACAUCACUCCGCUUCCUCCCCGAGAGACGUUUCGUUCAGUCGGUCAUGCUUGGUGGCCUACCAUGGGUCUCUGGCCCCCGGAGACUGAACCGUCCGCCUCUCGCUGCCGCACUGCCCCCCCUGGAGGCCAUGGCUGACACGCAACGCAACAGACUCAUCCCACAAAUGAGUCCCACUGCUCACUCACCAAUUGGAUGAAUGUUUCCGAUGUACAUGUAAUGCUAUGUACAUGCCAAGGUAAAGCCUAGCUUUUUUUUAUGUGUUUCACUCAAUCGUCUUAAGAGGAUAGAUGAAAGUUCACUAAUACCAAUACUGUCAUUUAACCAGAGUCUCUGUGUUUUUCUCUCUCCUGUUGCUCCUUGCUGCUGGCUGUUCUUCCUACCUCGCCACAAAGCAGAUCCUGGGUCAACCUGUACUGUGUGCUGAACAAAGGAGAGAUAGGCUUCUAUAAGGACGCUAAGAACACCGCCACACCUUACAACAACGAGCCCAUGCUCAACCUCGGCCACUGCCACUGCGACGUCACCCUUGGAUACAAGAAGAAGAAAAACGUCUUUACACUUAAAACGAAAGACGGAAGUGAAUUUCUGUUCCAUGCAAAGGAUGAGGAUGAUCUAAAGGCCUGGACCACCAACAUCAACAAGAGCAUCGCAGAGCAUGUGGAGAUUGCCAAAUGGGGUCAGCCCCAGCCUACUACCUCAUCCACGGACGAGGGCACGCGCCGGGACGGCAGCAAGGCCGAUAACAAGUCAGAGCGGGGGGAAAAGUCAGACCGGGGGGAAAGGCCGGAGAGGGCCGAGCGCUCUGAGAGGUCGGAUAAGGGUGAGACCAAAUCGGACACCAAGCGUUCAGAAAAGUCCAGCAAGAAGAAAUGAGUUUGAUGUUGUGCGCUGGGAGGGGGAAAGGGAGAGAGGUUUAAAAGACUCCCAGUCAAGACCCAUCCUUUUCACCUCGUCCACCUGCUUCAGUUCUGUUUAGUGUCAAAAAAGACAGGAACGUCACCCUGGUGAACUGACAUGAGGGAUUUGAAGCACGAAUAUCAGUGUGCCCCUCAUCGUUGCCCUCUCUCUUUAUCUCUGUUGCUCUGAGGGUGUCAGUCCUGGGCACUAACACUUAUUGCCCGGCUUGUUCCACCUCUGCCCUCUGGUGGUGACAUUGGUGCACUGCAGAAAGCAGAUGCUCCUAGUCAGGGCAGCAGUGUGAGAGAGAUGGACACAUGUAACAAGAGGGUUGUUAUCACUGGUGGUAUGAAGAAGUAGCUCAUAACGUUUUAAGUUUAUUUUUUUGUAAGAGAUGAGCUGUAUCUGUAUGUAACUCUUGUCUGUCUAUUUAUGUAUUGUAUGUCUAGAACAUCCAAUCUUAUACUCCCAAACAAAAGAGAAUGAAUUAUGCCUAAAUGUUUUUCACAACUGGCCUCUUUUUGGAGAACAAUUAUUUUAUGUUUCCUUUUUGUAUUUCUGCUCAUUCACUUUGCCUUCAUUCUUUUCUGGGCUUUUCUCACUUUUUGGAUUUUCUUCAGUACAAAACUGUAAUGUCAUCAAACUCAUCCUAAUUGAAUUUGUACAAUUCAACAUUGAGCCAGAGGACAAAAAGAAGAGGCAGAGAACAUCAGCCUUCACAGAGCUUGUUCUGGCUUUUGGAUGGAUGAGCUGGAACCUUUACCUGGAGGCUGGCCCCCACGGCCAUACUCAUCUAUGCCUUCAUCUGGGGCCCCCGAGAGGCCCCCAGGGACCCAGCAGCCAUAGCCACCCAGCAUCAGAGGGACAGGACUGGAAGCCAUCUGGCAAGACCUCAAGCCUCAUUCCUUCUCAAAGACCAUCAGAUGGUGGUAACCACACUCCACAUACCCAGUCAACAUUAUUUUUGUCCAUUCAGAAAAUAUCACAAUGCUUUUUUAUAGACAGUCAAAAAAAUUGAAAUGAAGUUGUGUGUGUGUCUGAGCAUGUGUGUGCGGAUGUGUGUGUCUGUUCAGCUUCUCACCACUCCCAGGGUUUUCAUAGCUCAGGUUUGUUUUGUUCACAUCUGCGUCCUCAGUUCUCCCUCAGUCUUCCAGGCACUGCCGUUCCACAGGCCAGGCUUCUUAACAAUUAACCACAGGAGUUGAUGAGGACCCAGCAAGAAUCAGGGGCCACACAGAAAUGACACGGUGCCGAUUGGUCACUCCAAGGCCUCAGGAGUGCAAGUCGAUGUCAGACAGAUGUAAACAAAAGCUUCCUAUCUUCUGGAUGAAUGAAACACAUGCAUGUCUUGCUUGAGAUACAUCUCUUGUUGAUAGGCUUUGCAUAGCAGUCCGAUCAUAUGUUCCUCUCACAGUUUGUAGCUAUCAGCGACGAUGUUCACGUUUGUUCCUCUCCAUGCAUCAUACAAUAAAAUGAUUUGUUUUGUCGUAGCACUGCAAAGCCAUAUCUGGUAACGGGAAGUCUUACAUUAUGGAAGCUAGUGGACAAAUCCUUUGCCUGUUCCUUACAUCAGAGAUAUGUACAGAAGUGAGGAGUGACGGCGACGAGACAGUACAGUGCAAAUAUCAUGAAAUCUUUCCCGUGUAGCUUUUUCUACCUUGUUUUUUAAACACAUUUUAUGCAUCUAUAUAGGCGUUGAAUGCCAAAUCAAUGCAAUCCAUAACGCAUGUUGGACACAACAAGGCAAGGAUCAGCAGAACUUAUUUUUGAAUGAACAUAACUAUCACACGGAAUGUGAAAUACAGUACAAUAUAUGACACAGGACACAGCCAGAUAGGGCGCUGUUGGACAUCUGUGAGAUUCUAUGGCGAGUUCUUAGAUUCAUAUGACAUACUUUAACGAGUGGCAUACAAUUAUCAUAGUGUAGUUGGAGGAUACUAGCGAUAAAGUGCUAGUUUGCUGAAGUCUUGCAUUCAGGAGUUUCACUGUGCAUUCACUACUAUCUAUUGUUUAGAUUAGACUUAUCUUGCCUGGGCAGCUCAUAUGGAGGAUGCCUCAUUCCAAAAACAAUAUGCUCAAUAAAAACGAAUUGGUUUCAAAUUGAUGUACGUAAUUGUGUUAGUUCUGAUUUAACACUAAUUUGGAUGUCUCUGAGUGGUAUCUAUGUUUGGAAAUGCUGCUUACCAUUGUACUCUUAUCUGUGUACAGAUGUCACAGAUAUCCUAUUUGUAUGCCAUAGUCUCACUCAAAACGGAUUGUAUGCCGUCAAAGUAUUAUGGUGGCGUGGGGAGGUUGACAGGAAUGCGAAUACAGAAUUUAUGCAACAUAUCCCUUGCACUUAAACGUUCCCCCAUUGCGCAGUGCUAUUGAGGAGCAGUGGAGCUUGAGGGUCCAAGAGGGAAAUGUUUUUAUUUGCUUACUGGAGAAUGAGUUUUGAAUUAUCUUCAUGAAUGAACAUGAAGUACACCAGCUGGAAAAGUAUGAGAGUAUCAUGCACAACCAUGAUAUGAGAUAUUUCACAUGGCAGUUUUUCAUGCUCGUCUUGCUUGUUACACGUUACUAACAGCUGGAAUUCCAGCCACAGUGCAUGAAAGUGCGAGUUUCACAAAUCUAUCACGUCCUAACAACCAAACAUGCCUAUACAAUAUUUCAUCCAUUUAGUCAUGCUAAGGUUUCAUUCAGUAGUUAUCUGUUUAAAUGACCAGUGGUCAUUUUCCAAAUGUGGGCCAGCAAGUCUGUUGGCUUGGCCAAGGCCCUGAUUCAUGUUAUCUUUUCUGUUUCACAGAGGGUCAUUUGAGUUUAUAGACUUUCAAAUGACAAACCAGUGGAAUGUUGUUAAUACCUAGAAAGCACAAUUUUAUAACCGACAGUUGAUAUACACACAAGCAUUCAGUUGUCAUUGGGAGACUUGUGAAAGGAAUCCCAUGAUUGAUACAAUGCCUCUGUAUUAGCCAUGCAGUCAUGAUUUUUCAGGUGUGUGUGUGUGUGAUGUGCGGUCCUGGAGUGCUUCCUUCAUGAAAGCAUUACCACCUCAAAGGUUACAAAUCAAUAGUCUUAACGCCAAUUAUAAACUCAAAUCCAUAUUUUCUGGAAUACGUUUCAUUUCAGGGAAUAAUAAUUACAUUUCAGUUUUCAUCCAAGAUGUUCCACUGCUGUUUGUGGACAAGUCAAUGCUCAACACUUACCAUUCAUUUCCUGACCUUUGACCCUAGAGCACCACUGGUUUUCAGGGAACUACUGAAUGGAUGUUUUGCAAAGUUCAACAGCUUGAUGACCUGUACAAAAUGUAAUUGCUUAAAGUAUUUUCUGUAAAAAAACAACAACAUUUUUUUCUGUUCUGCUGUGAAAGGGAGGUUUUUAAACUGAUGUAAAUAUUCAUGGGGAAAAUGGUUCAUUGGUACAACAUCAACAGAAAACAUCACAAUAUCAGGAUAAAGAAGUUGCAUGAAUAACAUAGUCCCUAUUAUGAUACUGCUCUGCAUGUUUUGAAGUUUCAUUCCGCCAAUCACUGUACAAUAAUGGGGUGACACACUUGCUUACAUGGAAAAGGUGAAUGAAUGAAUAAUAAUGUAUAAAACAGAUCCAACUUAAAACCAUU